GACGAACUGUGCGAACGUUGUUCGGAAUCACUGGGCUUAAAGGGUGCGUAGGCGGCUUGUUAAGUCGGGGGUGAAAUACUUCGGCUCAACCGGAGAAUUGCCUUCGAUACUGGCGAGCUGGAGGAAGGUAGGGGUCGCGGGAACUGCCAGUGGAGCGGUGAAAUGCGUUGAUAUUCGCAAGAACACCAGUGGCGAAGGCGGCUCACUGGCCCGGUACUGACGCUGAGGUGCGAAAGCGUGGGGAGCAAACAGG
rnacentral:rRNA from 1 species